rnacentral:lncRNA from 1 species
GUAUAUAUGUAUAUAUACACGUAUAUAUAUAUACACGUAUAUAUAUGUAUAUAUACGUAUAUAUAUAUAUACACACACACACAUAUAUAUAUAUAUGUUUACUCAUCAUAUGUCUUGACAGCAUCUUAUUUCCUUAUCCCCCUGACUGGGUAAACAUGGAGUAGAAGCAUAUUCAAAUAUAUGUGCGUGUAUGCAUCUAUAUAUAGUAACUGAAGGUGAAGCUUGGGCUAAUAUCUGGAGGAAAAAAUACAACAGCACAGGUGAGAGCUUCUCUCACCCCUACUCCUUGUGGGGCAGAAUGAACUAGCCCAAGUUGCACUCCCUGUCGUAGAGGUGUCACAAGGUGACACCUUGCAUUCAUGCUGAUCUGCUUAUAUACACCCAUGCUGGCCUUUUGCUGGUGGUUAGAAAGAGUUAGACGUUGUGGCAGCUAUGGACACUGCUCAAUUCUCCCUUCAAGCAGGAACAUACCUUUCAUCUGUGAGCAGGGAAGUUAACUGAGAACUUCUAGCUGUAGCACCUGCAAGAUUUGCACUAUAUUUGAACCAAUGCCAUGGUCUUCCAGGGCAGCCUGUAGUCAAUGACUGAGCACACUAAAUGUACUCAAGUCUGGCCAUUUCAGUCCAGUGUGGGGCUUUUCUCAUGGGACAUCUUUGUUGCACAGCUCUCUCUUGGAUAUGGUGAGACUUUGUCAGAGCCACAUCACAGCCUGCCUAAUUCUGCUUUUGUCCUUCUUUCCUUUCACAAGUGUCAGAUGUACAUCAAGGUCUGAAUGCUUUCCUGCCCAACAGUGCCUCCUUUUCGAUCUUUCACAGAUAUUAACUAUCCCCCAAUAAAGCUCUUUGACUCCUAACUCUAUCACAAUAUAUGCUUACUACUAGAGAACAAGAACUGACCCGUGGGUUUCUGUUGCCUGUCCUUUGCUGAAUUGAAGCACUGAUCAAUAUUGAGAGUGAGCGGAGAGUGAGAGCCUGGUGGCUUCUCAGGCAGCUAUCCUACUAGCCUGCUUGACUGUUACCACGGAAACAUACACAGGGAAGGAAAACAAAAAAACAAAAAACAGGAGACAGGGACUCAUGGCAAAACACCACUGCCAGGCUGUGGGAGAGGCUUCCCAGCCACUUGGGCAGAAGGCUUGGUUUCACAGCCAAUUGCAUUUGGCCUUGUAAGGGCUGGAGUUGAAGAGGGAAUGGAGAGAUACUUAAGCUGCCCAGGCCUGAGAUACGGCGGCAGGGAAUAGAGGAUAGAGGGGAAUGCUGGGUAAUAGGAGUGUAUGGCCCACAUUGCACUAUUAGUAUUCACUAAGGGACCCCAGCUUCCUAGAGUCUUCACAUCCUGGCAGCAAAAUCCGCACUUAACCAAUACUUUCCAAACAGAAGCUGACCUGCUAAAGAUUUCUGUAUACCCUGGCCUUCUGGCCCACCCUACCUCCCACUCUUGCCUUUGUGUGUCCUUGAAUCAUUGCUCCAGAACAGAGAUUCUGAAUCUGGACUUGGGUCUAUAGAACUGCUGGAACUUCCAGAGGGUGGUCUGUGAUUCCCUCAAGGAAAUUUUACAAAUACUUAUCUGGGAACAAGGGCCAUAGCUUUCAUUGGAGAUUAGGAACUUUGGGUUCAGGGAAAGUGAGUCCAUUUUUAUGGAUUAAGUAGGCAGUACUGGCACAUAGUAGGUGCCCAAAAAAUUAUUACAUAAAUGAAUGCAUGACUAGAAAGAAGAAAAUCAAGGUAGAAAAAAUUAAUUUAAGUGAGAUAAGACAUAAAACACUUAACACAGUACCUGACUCAUGGUACCUGACACAUGGUCAGUCUUUUCAACAAAAAUCUAAUACUCCAGGCUGAGUAAACAAUAAGGUACUUAACCAUUUCUGUCAUUGGAUAUACCAAUUUUUCUCCAUUUUUUCUUACACACUGAGACAUUGAACAUCUUUGUACACAUAUUUUUGCACACAUGUGAGAACAUACCUAGAGGAUAAAGUUCUAGAAGUGCAAUUGCUGGAUUAAAGGAUAAGCACAUUUUAAAUCUUGAUUAAAACCAUGAAAUUUCCCUCCAAAAAGGCUCUACCAUUUCAUACUCCCACAAAAUGUAUAUGAGUGCUCAUUUACCCACACUGUACUUAUUAAUUUUUAGGAAGUUGCCAAACUCAUGAAUGAAAAAACAGUAUUGUGUUUUAGUUUAUAUUUCUUUAAUUUUUAGAAAAUAUAACUCCUAAAUGUAUGCUUCAGUUAUGACCUCCAAACUUAUACUGUAAAUCAACUGCCUACUCAAACGCCUGACAACUCUAAUUUAAUUUAAUCAAAAUCCUAAAUUUUUUAAAGGUAGAACUAAAAUAUGGACAACCAUAAUAUUUAAGAUAGGAGAGCGUUAACAUGUCCAAGCUGAACUGAUCUUAUCCUCAAAUCUGCUCAACCUAUGCACUAUCCAAUCUCUGAAAAUGGCAACUCCAUUCUUCCAAUUGCUCAGGCCAAAAACAUGGAACCAUCCUGGAUUCCACCCUUUCUGUCACACCCACAGAUUCAGACACUUCUCACUACCUCCACCAAUACCAGCCUGGUUUAAACCACUAUCAUCUUUUGACUGCAUUAUUGUUCAAGCUUCCUACAUGAUCUUCCUGAUCCCAUUCUAACUGUUCCCAACCCCAGUCUAUUCCAAGUAUAACAGCAAGAGUGUUUCUUUAAAAAACACGAUUCAGAUCACGUCAGUCCUCUGCUCAAAAACCCCCAAAGCUUUUCCAUCUCAUUUUAAAUGAAAGGUAAAGUAUUUUCAGUGGCUUACAAGGUCCCCACUGUCUGGCCCCUGCUGACUCUCUGGACCUCAUCUUUCUCAUGCUCACUCAACUCCAGCUGCUUGUCCUUUUUGCUGAAUGUGGACCACUCUAGGAAAGACACCUACUUAUGGUCUUUGCCCCUACUCACAAGGCUGUUCCACCAGAUAUCUUCCUUCAUGCCUCAUCCUCACACUUCAGUCCUUUUCUGCUAAAAUGUAAUAUAAUAAGAGAUCCUCUCUACCUAUCCUUUCUAAGAUAGCACAUCCUUCAGCACUUUCUAUCCCCCUACUUUGCUUAUUUAUUUUGUUAUAAAGCACUUUUCACCACUAAUAUGUAUCUUAAUUUUUGCUAUUUGUCUAAACCCACCAGAAAGUAAAUUCCAAGAAGGUGAGGAUUUUGUAUAUAUCAUUUAUGACAGAAUCCUGAGCACCUAUUACAGUGCUUGGCAUGUAGUAGCUGCUCAUUAAAUACUUGUUGAAUAAAUAAAUGACCAAGAUUAAGCAUUAGUGAGGAUGACCAUUUGUGGUGCUUCAUCUGUGAACUGCCAUUUCAUGUCCUUUGCCUGUUUUUCCAUUGAAGUUCUUUUUUAUUUCUUAUUGAUUUUUGUAGGAGACCUUUAGAGAAAGUGCAUAUUAAUGCUUUGUCACCUGUUAUAAAUAUUUUCUCCUUUUUGUCACUUGCCUUUUUAUUUUGUUUAUACUUUUGUCUAUUGUAAUGAUUAAUUUUCUAUGUCAAUGCGACUAGGUUAAGGGAUACCCAGAUAGCUGGUAAAACAUUGAUCCUGGGUGUGUCUUUGAGGGUGUUUCUAGAAGACAGUAGCAUUUGAGUCAGUAGAUUCAGUAAAGAAGAUGCACCCUCACCCUCAUCAUCCAAUCCAUCGAGGGUCCAGAGAGAACAAACAAGUGGAGUAAGGGAAAAUUCACUCUAUCUUCUUCUGCUGGAAGAUCCAUCUUCUCCUGCCCUUGGACAUCGGAGCUUCUGGUUCUCAGGACUUUGGAUUCAGCCUGAGUCACACCACCGUCUCUCCUGUUCCUCCAGCUUGCAGAUGGCAGAUCAUGGAACUUCUCGGCUUCCAUAAUCAUGUGAGCCAAUUCCCGUAAUAAAUUCCCUCUUAUCUAUUUAUCUAUAUCUAUCUAUCUAUCUAUCUAUCUAUCAUCUAUCUAUAUCUCUAUCAAUCAUCUAUCUCUAUCUAUCGAUCAUCUAUCUCUAUCUAUCUAUCUAGCUAUCUAUUUAUAUCCUAUUGGUCCUGUUUCUCUGGAGAACCCUAAUACAGCUGUGCAGCUAUUUUAUGAUUUUUAUCUGUUCCAGCUUGGCAUUUUUUUUUGUUUAUAACUUCUGAUGUUCAUGGAAAGCUUAACACAGUAUUCCCUACCCCAAAAUUACAAAUAUAUGCUCUCAUAUUUUCAAGUACUUACAUAGGUUUGGAGAUAUUUGUUUUCCUUAAGCUUUCAUAAGGUUUAGAUUCAUCUUAGAUUUUUUUUCAUUAGAUAUAUGCUGUCAGGCAGAGGUCUAACUUUAUUUUGCACUUCUAUCUUCUACAUCUGUAUGCCUGUGACCCUUAGAAAAAUGUAUGUGGGACCCACAGACAUAACUUGGCAGCAAGCACUGAGUUCAUCACUCCUAUAAUGGACCUUCCUAUCAAUCGGUGUGGUGGGAAAAAGUAAAAUACCUUUGCCCACCACCACCCACUUCUGCAGCCAGAUGAGAAACCAAGGGAUUAGGGAGCAAAGGUACCAUUAGUUCCUUCAUUCUCAGUCAAUGUUGAAAAGCUUUUCUGGACAGAGGAGGGGCAAAUACAUUCUUAGCAUAACAUAUACUUGCAAUAGUUUGGAUGUGGUGUGUCCCUGCCAAAACUCAUAUUGAAAUUUGAUCUCCAAUGUGUUAGGAGGUGGGGCCUGGUGGGAGGUGUCGGGGUCAUGAAGGUGAAUCCCUUAUGAAGAGAUUAAGGCCCUCCUGUGGAGGUGAGUUCUUCCUCUCACAGGAAUGAAUUAGUUCCUGUGAAAGUGGGUAGCUAAUGUGAAAUGUGAUAUACAAAUUGUAUCACUCUGCUUCAGAGCUCUAAAAUGGAGUUGGGAAGCCAUUCUCAGAAGGACUACCUAUACAACAUGUGAACUUGCAAAACAGGAACUUGCCUUGAACUUUGAACUGGGCUAAACCACCACAACAACAGCAUCCUGGAAAACAGCUGAAUUUUGCCAGUGCUGCAACCCCUGAACAGUGACAACUAAUGAACUAUAGGCUCAUUUACAAAGCCAGCCACCUCCACCAAUGAUACUUUCAAAACAACUUCUGUAAUCACCCUCAGCAUCCUUUUAAAAAUUGCUACUCUGCUUCCUCCCUUUGGCAGAUAAUUUGGCUUCUCGCUGAAUCUGUGUCUCCCAAAUUGCAAUUCCUAAGGCCCUAAUAAAUGCUUGCUGCGUUGCACUCAGUUCUUUUGCCUCUUCUUGGUUGACGUUAAAUGGUGUCAGAAGUGGGAUAUGAUGUUACUCUCUUACUAUGCAUUCUGGUGCUGCCACAGAUUUGAGCACUGUACCUGCAGGAACUCCUUGUGUUCCAUCACCUCCCUGACAGCUCCAUACUCUGUUAGUGAGUCCCCUCUUUUCCCUGACCCUCCUAACUUGGUUUGAGGUUCAUAUCUUUAUUGGGUGUUCUUUGUUGCCAGCUGUCCACAAAGGAAAUUUUCCCCUUGUGGUGAGUAUUCAUGAGGGCUUUUGCUUCUAAGAGUAUAGGUGCUGAGUCACCCCUUUCUAGGAAUCUCGGUUUCUUGGUGCAAAAAUUACAAUGCUUCAUCUUGUGAAUGUCUUUCUUGAUGGACAAAUAUAACUGAAAGUGAUUUGGAAUUACAAUGGCCAACCUGGUGAUCUUUUGAAUUUCCACAAUGCAUUUUCUUCCACAGUUAGAAGGGCUAAAAGAAAAGACCAAAUAGCCUAAAUAGGAUGUCUGCUUUAAUUUGGUAUCUUAAGGCAUCUAAAAGACUCUAGGAAUCUAAACUAGUGUCUCUAAAAGAUAACAAUGCCAAAUUAAUUCAAAGACUAAAUUAGAAAAAACCCAGAAGCUUCUAAAAAUGAAACAAAUCUGGAAACAAGCACUUCUCUAUUUGUCUUUGUCUUGUGUCUCCUCCCCCUCCUAGCCCUAGCUAUUCCAUUUCACUGCCAUUCUUGGCACCCUCUUUGCUUAUAUGGUAAAAACUUAUUCUAAACCUGAGCAAUUCCUCCUGGGCUUUCCAUAAAGAGGGUUAUUGGAUUGAGUCGCUAUUGGAAUAAUUAUACCAUUGGAAAUUCUAAUCAUCAGUGGCCAAAAGAUGGAUCCUUUUAGAGAUCUCUCAUUCUAAACAAUUACCUUAUUUGUAUAUAGGGGAGGAUCAAAUUUCUUUUAAAGGACAUAUAAUAGUGUCAUGCCUAGCCUUAGAAAUUUUCUUGACUAAAUUAAAGGGCAAUCCUAAAUCAAAGUUAAAAUAUUUUGUAUGCUCAAACUGUCUGCUUUGGAGCCCAUGCAGGAUUUACCUCCCCCCACCCACCCCCCAAAAAAAAACACUUUACCCUAUGGUCUAGGGCUGGGAUUUGAUGCUCUCACUGCCAGGGCCCAGGUUCGAUUCCCAGUCAAGGAAUCAGUCUCUGCUGAUGUAAGCCCUUAAACGCAGGAAAAGAAACAUUUAUUGAAAAAUUGGUUUGAUAUUUAUGUGACUUAACUUUUUGGGGUAUUCAUUUGUUAUUGAUCCUCUCCCCUCCCAUGAACAUCUUUUGAGUUCCUGUCUUACCAACUUUCUCUUUUAAUCCUUCAUCUGUGGGUACAUGGGAUGGUCAGCUUUUGUGUGUAGACAGUCAGCUAAGAAGCUGAGAUGUUAGAGAAUAUUGCUGGACACAAAUGUGGGUUGUAUCCCAUUUGUGGCUAGCAAAACUGUCCUUUCUUUGAGCUGUCUUUGGGAUGGUUCUGGGUCUUGUGAGGAAUACUUUGCAUUUGGAAAUACCUCAUGUGUCCUUGGUUAGGUCAUAUGCUUGGUUAAAGCUUUUCGGGUUUGGUGAGUCAUUUGAAAGUCACCUUUGGGGGAAAAAAGUUCAAAAGCCAGUAAUAUUGACUGUUUUUCCUGGAUGAAAUCUGAUAAGAUAUUUGAAAAGACACCCUUUUUAUAGGAACACUAUAGUCAGAAAUCGGCUUAAUUAAAAGUGGAUUUUCAGGCUCUAAUAUUUUUAAAGGCCUUUCUGCUUUUUCUAGUUUAGAUUCUGUUUUGGGGAAUUUUUUCAGUCAACUGAAAUCUCCUUUUCAAUGAUAUGUUUGGUCCUUCUGUUUGCUCCCUUUCUUGUUGGCAUGAUUUUUGCUGAGAAAAAAUGUAAAGCUUCAUUGGUCUUUCUGGGAAACUUAAAAUUGGCUCCCCAAAUUGGCUCCACUAAGACUUGUUCCGUUUCCUUCCACUUCUCCUCCUCCUUCCUUUUUGUCAUCUUCAAUUCCAUAUAACAAAAUCUAAAGGAGACUUCUAGCCUCCCUAAAACCCCAUUAAAAGGUGCACAGAGAAAGGUGCCACACAACUCCUUUUUAAGAUCUUCUGUUUUCCUUGUGGAGCCCCAAGAGUCAUGGACAGGUUCCUUUCAGAUCUCAAGCUCUGGUCUCUUUUGCAUUGAGUUCCCUGGUCUCUCUGGCUUUUGGGGGUACCAAGGAUUAGUUUAUGCUGUGAGAGAAAACUUGACCUAUGUGUGUUUGAUGACUGGUGGGUCACUAGCAAGGGCUGCAGUUUUGAAGGUGGCUGACAGUGGUUAUUUAGAGUGAAUGGUUAUUACUGCACAGGCUACUCAUUUUUUUUUUUUGCAUGUUUAAAUUUUUAAAAAAAUGUGGUUUGCACAUUUGCAGGCCAUGAGAACAUUUGCCACUGAGGGAUGACUCCUGUGGUGAAUGGGCUGAUCACAGAGUGGGCUAAUGAGUAUUGGGUCUCCCACCACCUUCUGGAAAUGUCUUUGCAGCGAAGUACACUGUGGAAGCCUUGCGCAGCCCAGUCCUGUAGUGUUUCUCUCUUUUGGAGGACAAGGGAUUCAGUGUAAAGAUGGGAUCCUUGAUUUGGGGGGAUCUGGAUGCUCUGCCUUCCAGCUGCUCCUGCUUUUCACAUACAUAAGUGUUAGGUCAUGGAAAGUGCAAAUGAUUUGUUGGCCCUAUUCUUUAAUGGGCUCUGCCCUGAGCUCAGUGGUCCAGUUGAAAAACAGAGACUAAAUUAGAAGCCACCUAUCUAAAAAUAUUAGUCUUCAAAAUAUGGCUUUCUAGCAUUUGGUUAUUUUGAAAAGCUUUCUGAAUUUUCCUAGGCUCAUCUGUAUAAUCCUAUGGUUAAUUCCUAUUUAUUUUGCGUUACAUUGGUAUCCAUUUUUAAUCUUUCUCUCACUAACACACCCAAACUCUUUCUUGAAAAUGCUUAAAUUCUCUUCCUGUGCUUUGAGAUGUAAAUUUUCUACCCUCUUUUCUCUAAAACUCAGUAAAAGCUUUGGCCAUGUGGGACAGAUAAACUUCAACUUGUUCCAUUUACAGAGGCACAAUUUAAUCCAACUUUCUUUUUAAACUAGUGAAUUUCACCUGUCGCAUGACUAAUAUUUUACAAUCAAAGCUAUACAUUCUUUGUAUUUUAUGUAUACAUGUGUACAUGUCGGUUUGUACAUUGAAUAAAUGAUACUAAAUUUACUUAUAAAUAAAUGAGUACUUAUAAAUUAAAUAACUAGGCCAUAUGCUUUUUGAAUUCACGUGACUUCAGUAAUUUUUAGUAAAUAAAGCUAGUUUAAAAAUUGUUGGUAAAAUAAAAUAGAAAUGUCUUCAGAAUUUUAGAUAUAGUCACCUGAGUCUACCACUCAAACAAAUGUAUGCCAUCUCUACUAGAUGUUUUAAGGUCAUAAAAGUCUUGCUUCUGUGAUCAUUUUGAGGCUUGCUUGAUGUGUCUGUGAGCUAAAGCUGUAAUGGGAGGGUGAUGGACCUCCCUAAAACCUUGUACACAUCUUUCUGUGAACUUAAAGUCUUUUAUUUUCAGCCUUUAAAUACUGGGGUGUAGACAGGUGGCCAUGGUGAAGCUGGAAGACAUAGGUAUGUCCACAGUGCCUAGGCCACAAGCUGCAGAGCAGAGCCAAGCCCAAUAUGGCCUCAUCCUCUCUGGCCCAGCUGUGUCCCUGGCCAUACUGGGAAGGGUCGGAUCCUUCAGGCAUUGUCUUCACAGCUCUGUCCCCUGUCCUGGGCUCUGCACCUGAUAUAUAUAACAUUAAAAUUACUUAACUCAUAUGUUUUACUCUAGAAAUUUGGGUUACUGAAAGUUAAAAUUAUAGUUAAUAUAUGUAAUUAAAAUUACUGGAUAUAAGAGAAACAAUUCUGUACACAGACUGCAUAAGAAAAGUAGGAUGUUUUUGGUAAGAAAGUUUAUAAGAAAGACAAGUGAAUGUGUUUUUUCUUCAAAGAAAAGUAAUCUUUGUCUAGUUUAAAGGUGAUUUAAAGGUUGCUUUUGUUAAAGGAAUAAAAAAGAAUUAUAGAUAUACCUGAAUGGAUAUAGAAAGUUGAGGAAAGAGAGAGAAUGAAAAAAACUUGUAAGAGUUUAUAAAAGAGUUGUGGAAAUCUUAUCUUAUGUGGUCAGUCUAAGAAUGGAUAAAUUUGUUUAUAGAAUUUUAGUAAAAUUAGCUUUGUAUUAAUAAUAGACCAAUGCAAAGGUAGAAUUUGAUUUUCUCUUUUGAACAAUAUUUUUGUUUAGUAAUAAUAAGAAACAGUAAAAGACUAGGUUCAACUUUUAAGUAAAUUGCAAAAAAGAGAGGAGUUUGCCUCAUGCUGUCUUUAUUAGGUCAUUUGAUUAUUUAGAAAACUGUUUUCUGUCAAAGAGUAAAAGUUUUUAGCUUUGUGAAGCCUUUUUAUUAUCACUUUGGCUAAAUGAAUGACCAUUAUUUUACAGUGACCUGUGAUCCUAUUCUGAUAUCAAGUGUUUUAAAUCUUUGAUAUUUGACAAACUUCCCAAAAUGAAAUUUAAAAUUCUAAAUUAAGUCUUUUUGACUUUAAACAAACUUUUAGACAUUUUUAAAAGAUCCUCUGAGAAGGAGUUUGAUACCAGCCUGGCCAAUAUGGUUAAACCCUGUCUCUACUAAAAAAUACAAAAAUUAGCUUGGCAUGGUGGCAUGCGCCUGUAGUCCCAGCUACUCAGGAGGCUGAGGCAGGAGGCUCUCUGGAACCUGGGAGGCGGAGGUUGCAGUGAGUGAGAUCGUGCCACUUCACUCCAGCCUGAGCAGCAGAGCAAGACUCCAUCUCAAAAAAAAAAAAAAAAAGAUCCUCUGAGAGUUCAAGAAAACAUAUUAGGCUUAUUUUGUAUGUUAAAAUCAAAUGGAAAUCAUGGUCCAGUAAGAAAUGGUGUUUAACUUUGAAUUAUGUUCAUAGGGAUGUUAUUAAUAUGUGUUCCAAAAUUGUGUGAGAUUCAAAAAAUCUGAUAUGUCCUAGUAAAUUGCUGUAUUCUGAUGCUCUUUUUCUAAAAGGUCUUCGUAAAUCUUAAAGUGUUGUGUCUUCAAGGAGGUUCAUGGAAGAGGGUCUGACAGAUACUCUGAAAUACAGAACUCUGCUUAUGACAUUCAAAUUAUUCAACUGUACUGGGGCCAGGAAGGACUCUCUGAAUUUCCUUAUCUGACCAAGAAAGUUCCUUUCCAAAAGAAACACAAUUGCCUUCUAUGCCCACCCUGAAAUCUCAUCUAUUUCGGAAAAGAAGAAUGAGGAAUAACAUUUAGACAUGGUUAAUUAAAUGAAUGCCUCUCCUGAUAUACAGCUAAUUACUAUAGACUAAUGUGGGCCUCCUCACUUAAAUAGCUCCCUUGUUACUCAAAUUGAUCAGUCUCUAAAGCCUUGGAUACACACUGACUUUCAACAACCCCACUCCAUGGAACAUAACACUCUAGAAACAAAUGCUUCCAGAUCUGAGGGAAACUAAUAACAAAUCUGUAGCUUACCAAUCAAUAAUUGAUCAGUGAUGCUGCCUCACAUCAGAUCUUAAUCGAAACGGGAAUGUGAAAUGUGAUCUACAAAAUGAUGUCAUUCUGGUUCAGAGAUGUAUAAUGCAGUUGGGAAGUCACUCGAAAAAGUACUACCUGCACAACCUGCAACCUUGUAAAACAGGAACUUUCUUGAACUUUUUUUUUUUUUUUUGAGACGGAGUCUCGCGCUUGUCACCCAGGCUGGAGUGCAAUGGUGCGAUCUCACCUCACUGCAACCUCCACCUUCCGAGUUCAAGCUAUUCUCCUGCCUCAGCCUCCCAAGUAGCUGGGAUAACAGGCACCCACCACCACACCCGACUAAUUUUUGUAUUUUUAGUAGAGACAGGGUUUCACCAUGUUAGCCAGGUUGGUCUCGAAUUCCUGGCCUCCAGUGAUCCUCCCGCCUCAGCCUCCCAAAGUGCUGGGAUGACAGGUGUGAGCCACUGCACCCGGCCGCCUGAACUUUGAACUGGACUAAACCACCACAACCACAGUAUCUUGGAAAACAGCUGAAUUAUCCCAGUGCUGCAACUCUUGAUCAGAAACAACCAAUGAACUACUCAGGCAGCCACCUCCACAAAUGAUAAUUCUUUUGAAACAACUUGGGUAAUCAUCCUCAUCAUCCUUUUGGAAACCCCUACUUCCCUUCCUCCCUUUGGAAAACAUUUUGGCUUCUAACUGAACCUGUGUCUCCUGAAUUGCAAUUCCUAUGACCCCAAUAAAUGCCUUAUCUUACUGCUUUGCAGUCUAGUCUUUCUUGGUUGUGUUAAAGUUGCAGAUACCAGGAUGAAAUCACUUUUGUCCAAUCCAGACAAAAUAAUACCAGGAAGGACCAAAGGAGGGGAGGCACAUGCUUACAUGUCUGAGAUAAGAACCAUUUUCAAGGACUUUCUAAAAACCCUUUACAUAUCUCCUACUUUGAUGAGGCUUAUCACUACACAUUCUUUAGGACUGCAGUCAUUCCAAUAAGAUGUUCUCAGAAGAACAGUUCUCCAGUAAUUGCAUCUCCACCAAUAAACUGACAACUCUAGUACUGAACCUGGGGAACCAAUGAACUCUUUUUCUAUGCAGCUUAUGUAAAUCUUUUUUUGCUCAUAAAAGCUCCCCUUCCCCUUCCCUCCCUGAAAGUACUGGUGACUUGUGAUUCCAUGCAUUCUGGAUUAUGAUCCCUAUUUCUUUUUUUUUUCCUAUUCCUAUUUCUGAGUAAACCCAACAUAGAGGUAAUUUUCUCUAGUGUUAUUUUUUUAGAUUAACAAUUGACAUUGAAAAGAGUCUAGCUUCCUCUGUUCUUCUUUCUUGCUUCCUUUCUCACCAUGUGAUCUCUUAGCACAUGCCCACUUCCCUUCCAUUUUCUGCCAUGAGUAGAAGCAGCCUGAGGCCCUAACCAGAUACAGCUGCUCAAUCUGGAAGCAUCCAGCCACCAGAAUUAUGAGCCAAAUAAGCCUCUUUUCUUUAUAAUUUACUCAGCCUCUGGUAUUCUGUUAUAGCAAAACUAAAUGGACUAAGAGAGAAAGUUGGUGCCAAGGAGUAGGGUGUUCUUAUAAAUACACCUGAAAAUGGGUAAGUGGCUUUGGAACUGGGCAAUGGGCAGAAGUUGAGUUUGAAGGUACAAGCUAGAAAAAGAAAAUAUUACAGUGAAAAGAGCAUUAAAGACAGUCUUGGUGGGGGCUUAGAAAAUGAGCUAGAACUUAUUAGGGAUUGGUUAGGUGGUUGUAACCAAAAUGCUUACGGAAAUAUGAACAGUCAAGGCCAGUAAGAUGAGGUCUUGGAUGGACAUGAGGAAUAUUUAUUUGGAAACUGUAACAAAGGUCAUCAUUUUAUAUAGUUGCAAAGAACUUGACUGCAUUGUGUUUAUGCCCUAGGGUUUUGUGGAAGGCUGAAUUUAAGAUUGAUAUAAUAGCAUAUCUUGUGGAAGAAAUUUCUAAGCAGCAAAGUGUUCAGGCUGCUGCCAUGGUUACUUCUAAGUGUUUAUGGUGAUUUGCUGGAGAAUUUGGAAACAGAACAGAAGGAUUUGGAAAACUCACAACCUGGAUGUGUAAUAGAGAACUUUCAAAAGAGCACUUUCAAAACAGUACUUUCAAAAGAGGAAUCCAAGGGAAUGGCAGACUUGCUAAAGAGAUUAGCAUGUCUAAAAGAGUGCCAGGUGUUAACUCAAGACAAUGGGUGAAUAACCUGAAGACAUUUUAGAACUUUAAGGCUGCCUUUCCCAUCACAGGCCCAGAGACCUAGAAUGAUAGAAUUGUAUUGGAGGAGAGACUUGGAGGGCUGCUGCUCUGGUGACCUCGGGACACUGGUCUGUGCAUCCUGACCACUCUGGCUGGAGCAGCCAUAGCACAAGUGGCGCCACAUGCAGCUCAUGCCCCUGCUCCAGAAAGCACAACUGGGAAGCCUUGGCAGCAUUCAUGUCUACGUGGUACUCAUUUUGCAUGCAUGCAGAAUAUGAGAGUAAUGGAAGCAUGGUGGCUUCCACCUAAAUUUCAGAGUAUGCAUCAGAAAGCCUGGGAGCCAAGGCAGAAAGUUGUUGUAGUGCAGAGCCACUACAACAGUAGAGAGAGCCUGUACUAAGGCAAUGCUAACCAGAAAUGUGGAGUAGGAAAUACCACAGAAGGUCCCCAUGAGGGUAAUGAACAAUGGAGCUGCAGGGUAGGACUACAACCUGGACCCCAGAAUUGUAGAGCCACCGGCAGCAUGCAACCUCAGCAUAGAAAAGCCGCAGUCAUUUGACUCCAACCUGUGAGAGUAGCUACGUGGGCCAUGUCCAGCAAAACCAUGAAGGCAAGGCUGCCUGAUGUCUUAGGAGUCCCCCCCUCAUACCAGUCUGCCCAAGAUGUAGGACAUGGGGUCAAAGGAGAUUAUUCUGGAGUGUUAAGUUUUAAUAUCUGUUCCACUGGGUUGUACUUGUAUGAGGCUUAUCAUUUCUUUCUUUUGGCCUAUUUCUCGUUUGUGAAAUGGGACUGUUUACCAAGUGUUUGUCCUACUGUUGUAUCUUAGAUGCAAAUAGUUUCUUUUUACUUUCGUUUGUUUAUCUGUUUAUUUUUUAGAGAUGGGUUCUUGCCGUGUUGCCCAGGCUGGUCUCAAACUCCUGGGCUCAAGCAAUCCACCUACCUUGACCUCCGAAAGUGCUAGGAUUACAGAUGUGAACCACCAUGCCCAGCCUACUUGUUUUUGAUUUUACAAACUCAUAGCUGGACUUUGGACCUUUGAGUUGGUGCUGGAACAAGUUAAUACUUUUGGGACAAUUGAGAUAGAAUGAUUGUAUUUUGCAUGUGAGAAAGACAUGCAUUUUGGUGGGGCCACGGGUGGAAUGCUAUGAUUUGGAUGGGGCAGCUCCAUCAGAACUUCUGUUGAAAUUUGAUCCCCAAUGUGGUGGUACUGGAAGUGGGGCCUAGUAAGAGGUGUUUGGGUCAUGGGGUUGAAUCCCUCAUGAAUACAUUCAUUCCCUCCCACAGGGGUUAGUAAGUUCUCCCUCUUGCAGAAAUAGAUCAGUUCCCAUGAUAUCAGCUUGUUAAAAUGUCUGACUUCCUUGGUUUCUCUUUCUUGCUUCCUCUCUCACCAUGUGAUAUCUUGGCAUGAGUGGAAGCAAUCUGAGGCCCUCACCAGAUCCAGUUGUUCAAUCUUGAACUGUCCAGCCACCAGAAUCAAGAACCAAAUAAAUCCCUUUUCUUUGUAAAUUACCCAGCCUCUGGGAUUCUGUUAUAGCAACACUAAAUGGACUAACAAUACUGCCCACUGUCAGGCCUCUGAGCCCAAGCUAAGCCAUCAUAUCCCCU